UACGGGGGGGGCAAGCGUUGUUCGGAAUUACUGGGCGUAAAGGGCUCGUAGGCGGCCAACUAAGUCAGACGUGAAAUCCCUCGGCUUAACCGGGGAACUGCGUCUGAUACUGGAUGGCUUGAGUUUGGGAGAGGGAUGCGGAAUUCCAGGUGUAGCGGUGAAAUGCGUAGAUAUCAGGAGGAACACCUGUGGUGUAGACAGCUUACUGGACCAUUUCUGACGCUGAGACACGAAAGCGUGGGUAGCAAACAGG
rnacentral:rRNA from 1 species